rnacentral:rRNA from 1 species
CGCGCAGGCGGCUCGUUAAGUCCAAGGUGAAAUCCCAACGGCUCAACUGUGGGGGACCCUGGAUACUGGCGAGCUGGAGUGCGGGAGAGGGAAGCGGAAUUCCACGUGUAACGGUGAAAUGUAUAGAUAUGUGGAGGAACACCGGUGGCGAAGGCGGCUUCCUGGACCGUAACUGACGCUGAGGCGCGAAAGCUGGGGGAGCGAACA